CCAGGCCGAGACAAGUUGAAGCAGCCUAGGAAGAAGAUGGGGCCCAAGCGGUCUCGAGGGGUAGCGACUCAGCAGGGAGACGAGCGAGGUGAUAAACAACCCUUUUCCCGUCUGCUAAAUGUGUCGAAGGUCCAUCCGAUCAGAGGUC